rnacentral:rRNA from 1 species
UGGGGAAUAUUGGACAAUGGACCAAAAGUCUGAUCCAGCAAUUCUGUGUGCACGAUGACGUUUUUCGGAAUGUAAAGUGCUUUCAGUUGGGAAGAAAAAAAUGACGGUACCAACAGAAGAAGUGACGGCUAAAUACGUGCCAGCAGCCGCGGUAAUACGUAUGUCACAAGCGUUAUCCGGAUUUAUUGGGCGUAAAGCGCGUCUAGGUGGUUAUGUAAGUCUGAUGCGAAAAUGCAGGGCUCAACUCUGUAUUGCGUUGGAAACUGCAUGACUAGAGUACUGGAGAGGUAAGCGGAACUACAAGUGUAGAGGUGAAAUUCGUAGAUAUUUGUAGGAAUGCCGAUGGGGAAGCCAGCUUACUGGACAGAUACUGACGCUAAAGCGCGAAAGCGUGGGUAGCAAACAGGAUUAGAUACCCUGGUAGUCCACGCCGUAAACGAUGAUUACUAGGUGUUGGGGGUCGAACCUCAGCGCCCAAGCUAACGCGAUAAGUAAUCCGCCUGGGGAGUACGUACGCAAGUAUG